AACGAACGCUGGCGGCAGGCUUAACACAUGCAAGUCGAACGGUUGUAGCAAUACAGCAGUGGCGCACGGGUGAGUAACGCGUGGAUAUCUGCCUUUUGGUUCGGAAUAACUCCGGGAAACUGGAGCUAAUACCGGAUGGUUCCUACGGGAUAAAGAUUUAUCGCCAAAAGAUGAGUCCGCGUACGAUUAGCUAGUUGGCGGGGUAAUGGCCCACCAAGGCGACGAUCGUUAGCUGGUCUGAGAGGACGAUCAGCCACACUGGGACUGAGACACGGCCCAGACUCCUACGGGAGGCAGCAGUGGGGGAUAUUGGACAAUGGGGGCAGCCCUGAUCCAGCCAUGCCGCGUGAGUGAUGAAGGCCUUCGGGUUGUAAAGCUCUUUUGGCGGGGACGAUGAUGACGGUACCCGCAGAAUAAGCCCCGGCUAACUUCGUGCCAGCCGCCGCGGUAAGAC
rnacentral:rRNA from 1 species